rnacentral:rRNA from 1 species
GAUGAAUGCUGGCGGCGUGCCUAACACAUGCAAGUCGAGCGGCAGCGAGGGGUGCUUGCACCCUGUCGGCGAGCGGCGAACGGCUGAGUAACGCGUAGGAAUUUGCCCCAAAGUGAGGAAUAACUGCCCGAAAGGGUAGCUAAUGCCGCAUAUGGUCUUCGGAUUAAAGGAUUUAUCCGCUUUGGGAGAAGCCUGCGUUGGAUUAGGUUGUUGGUAGGGUAAUGGCCUACCAAGCCGACGAUCCAUAGCUGGUCUGAGAGGAUGAUCAGCCAGACUGGAACUGAGACACGGUCCAGAUUCCUACGGGAGGCAGCAGUGAGGAAUCUUCCACAAUGGGCGAAAGCCUGAUGGAGCAACGCCGCGUGAAGGAUGAAGGCCUUCGGGUUGUAAACUUCUUUUAUGAGUGAAGAAUAUGACGGUAACUCAUGAAUAAGCACCGGCUAACUACGUG